UACGGAGGGUGCAAGCGUUGUUCGGAUUUACUGGGCGUAAAGCGCGCGCAGGUGGUUCCUUAAGUCUGAUGUGAAAGCCCACGGCUCAACCGUGGAGGGUCAUUGGAAACUGGGGAACUUGAGUGCAGAAGAGGAAAGUGGAAUUCCAAGUGUAGCGGUGAAAUGCGUAGAUAUCCGGAGGAACACCGGUGGCGAAGGCGGCUUCCUGGACCGACACUGACGCUGAGGCGCGAAAGCUAGGGGAGCAAACGGG
rnacentral:rRNA from 1 species